UACGUAGGGACCGAGCGUUGUCCGGAUUUACUGGGCGUAAAGAGCGCGUAGGCGGUCUUGUAAGUGUGAAGUGAAAUCUCCAGGGCUCAACCCGGAAACUGCUUUGCAUACUGCGAGACUAGAGGGAUGCAGAGGUUUGUGGAAUUCCUGGUGUAGCGGUGAAAUGCGUUGAUAUCAGGAGGAACACCCAUGGCGAAGGCAGCAAACUGGGCAUCAUCUGACGCUGAGGCGCGAAAGCGUGGGUAGCAAACAGG
rnacentral:rRNA from 1 species